rnacentral:lncRNA from 1 species
GCUUAUGCAUGCAUCGUCCUUCAUGUUUGUUGGUUUUGUGUUAGGCUUAAAUAACAAGGGUAUUUUUUUUUCAAAACAUAGAACACACUUGCAUAUUCGAAAUGUACAUGUGCAAAUAUAACCUACUCCCUCCAUCCCAAUUUAUAAGUUGUUCUGACCCUAUUUACUUUUUUCAAAUUGUAAGUUGUCAUACCUUCCCGUAGUCAUUUGGCAUCUGUCUAUUCCGAAAUUACCCUCGCCUUCGCUCGCCCAGUUCACUCCUCCUCCGCUGGUCGACUGCCUAGCUCCCUCCACCCCAGAUCCAGAUCGAACCUUCCCCAAAGACUGCCUACCGCCAUGCCCUACUGCUAGGAUGACCUCGACA